GUGCUCACGUUGGCAGCACACAUACUAAAGUUGGAUCAGUACAGAGAAGAUUACCAUAGCUCCUGUGCUAACACGUAAAUUCAUGAAGCAUUCCAUAUUUAA